CAGUCGCCACGGUAAUACGAAGGGUGCAAGCGUUAAUCGGAAUUACUGGGCGUAAAGCGCGCGUAGGUGGUUUGGUAAGAUGGAUGUGAAAUCCCCGGGCUCAACCUGGGAACUGCAUCCAUAACUGCCUGACUAGAGUACGGUAGAGGGUGGUGGAAUUUCCUGUGUAGCGGUGAAAUGCGUAGAUAUAGGAAGGAACACCAGUGGCGAAGGCGACCACCUGGACUGAUACUGACACUGAGGUGCGAAAGCGUGGGGAGCAAACAGGAUUAGAGACCCCUGUAGUCCCUGUCUCUUAUAC
rnacentral:rRNA from 1 species